UACACUCCUGCGGGAGGCAGCAGUGGGGAAUUUUGGACAAUGGGCGAAAGCCUGAUCCAGCCAUGCCGCGUGCAGGAUGAAGGCCUUCGGGUUGUAAACUGCUUUUGUACGGAACGAAACGGCCUUUUCUAAUAAAGAGGGCUAAUGACGGUACCGUAAGAAUAAGCACCGGCUAACUACGUGCCAGCAGCCGCGGUAAUACGUAGGGUGCAAGCGUUAAUCGGAAUUACUGGGCGUAAAGCGUGCGCAGGCGGUUAUGUAAGACAGUUGUGAAAUCCCCGGGCUCAACCUGGGAACUGCAUCUGUGACUGCAUAGCUAGAGUACGGUAGAGGGGGAUGGAAUUCCGCGUGUAGCAGUGAAAUGCGUAGAUAUGCGGAGGAACACCGAUGGCGAAGGCAAUCCCCUGGACCUGUACUGACGCUCAUGCACGAAAGCGUGGGGAGCAAACAGGAUUAGAAACCCCAGUAGUCC
rnacentral:rRNA from 1 species